rnacentral:lncRNA from 1 species
UCUUUCUCUAAGUUGUCAGUGUAACUAUUUGUAAACAACAUACUCAGUGUAAUCUGCACAACCCUAUGCAUAGGAUAGAUUUGUGCUAGCAUCACAUAACUGCCUUAAGUUUUUUUUUUUUUUUUUUUUUUUUUUUUUUUUUUUUUUUUGGUNNNNNNNNNNNNNNNNNNNNNNUUUUUUUUUUUUUUUUGUUUUUUUUUUACAUGGUGUCUUGGUGUGCAGUUUAGGCUGACCUCGAACUCACUGCGAUCCGCCUGCCUCAGCCUCCCAAGCACUGGGAUUACAGGAGUGAGCUACCACACCUGGCUACUUUAAGUUUUUAAAGACAAUGCUGCUACCCCAUGUAGAAAACCCACCUCACUGCCGGCCCAUACAGAAGAAACUGAAAAUGCACCUGCAGCAAUCUCAGUGACCAAGGGGGCGGCAGUUCACUGUACUCAUAAAUUUCGGCGAGGUACUGACCACCGCUUUGAGCACCUCUUGGGAUUGCAGAGGCCAAAGGUGACUUGUACUAAUCUCGCUCCUUCCCUCCUUCCUUCCUAUUUUUCUUUCUCCCUCCACUCCUCUCCUCCUCCCUUACUCCCGUCCUCCCUACCUCACUCCUCCCUCCCCGUCUCCCCUCCUCCCUUCCCUUCUUGCCUCCU